rnacentral:rRNA from 1 species
UACGUAGGGUGCGAGCGUUGCCCGGAUUUAUUGGGCGUAAAGGGCGCGUAGGCGGCUCGACACGUUCGUUGUGAAAUCGCCCGGCUCAACUGGGCGGGGUCAGCGAAUACGGUCGAGCUUGAGCAAGCUAGGGGGCAAUGGAAUUCCCGGUGUAGUGGUGGAAUGCGUAGAUAUCGAGAGGAACACCAGUGGCGAAGGCGGUUGCCUGGGGCUUUGCUGACGCUGAUGCGCGAAAGCGUGGGGAGCGAUCCGG